UACGUAGGGGGCUAGCGUUGCUCGGAAUCACUGGGCGUAAAGCGCACGUAGGCGGCUCUUUAAGUCAGGGGUGAAAUCCUGGAGCUCAACUCCAGAACUGCCUUUGAUACUGGGGAUCUCGAGUCCGGGAGAGGUGAGUGGAACUGCGAGUGUAGAGGUGAAAUUCGUAGAUAUUCGGAAGAACACCAGUGGCGAAGGCGGCUCACUGGCCCGGUACUGACGCUGAGGUGCGAAAGCGUGGGGAGCAAACAGG
rnacentral:rRNA from 1 species